rnacentral:lncRNA from 1 species
AAAAAAGCAAAGCAAACUUAAAUAACCAAACAAAAAAGUAUCAGAUUCUCGAUUUCGCGGUAUGUAGCUCGAAAAUUUUAGGGGGAAAUAAUUGUAGAAAUUAAAGCAAAAGAUGAAGAGAAUAAACCCUAGAAAUAUUGGUGAAAAAUCGAGCGAUGCACGGAUUUCUUAUCGAUCUCCCGACGCAAUUAAGAGAAUUAGAGUGGCUAGGGCUUACCGAUAGAGACGAAAAAUAAAAUUAGUAACAGGAAUUGAGAGAUAAAGUCGACGAUCCCAGUUGCGAGAUAUACAAAAAAGGAGAGCCUUAGAAAAUAGAUAAAAUAAAAAGCAGUAAAGCAAACUUAAAUAACCAAACAAAAAAGUAUCAGAUUCUCGAUUUCGCGGUAUGUAGCUCGAAAAUUUUAGGGGGAAAAAUUGUAGAAAUUAAAGCAAGAUGAAGAGAAUAAACCCUAGAAAUAUUGGUGAAAAAUCGAGCGAUGCACGGAUUUCUUAUCGAUCUCCCGACGCAAUUAAGAGAAUUAAGAGUGGCUAGGGCUUACCGAUAGAGACGAAAAAUAAAAUUAGUAACAGGAAUUGAGAGAUAAAGUCGACGAUCCCAGUUGCGAGAUAUACAAAAAAGGAGAGCCUUAGAAAAUAGAAACCGUGAGAUACCGAGAAGAGAGCGAAGGCUUGAAGCCUUUACGGAACCAAACGGUGUGUUUUAUUCUUUUUAAAAUAUUGAACCCUGCCUUAAA